ACGCUGGCGGCGUGCCUAAUACAUGCAAGUAGAACGCUGAAGGAGGAGCUUGCUCCUUCUGGAUGAGUUGCGAACGGGUGAGUAACGCGUAGGUAACCUGCCUGGUAGCGGGGGAUAACUAUUGGAAACGAUAGCUAAUACCGCAUAACAGUAGAUGUUGCAUGACAUUUGCUUAAAAGGUGCAAUUGCAUCACUACCAGAUGGACCUGCGUUGUAUUAGCUAGUUGGUGGGGUAGCGGCUCACCAAGGCGACGAUACAUAGCCGACCUGAGAGGGUGAUCGGCCACACUGGGACUGAGACACGGCCCAGACUCCUACGGGAGGCAGCAGUAGGGAAUCUUCGGCAAUGGACGGAAGUCUGACCGAGCAACGCCGCGUGAGUGAAGAAGGUUUUCGGAUCGUAAAGCUCUGUUGUAAGAGAAGAACGAGUGUGAGAGUGGAAAGUUCACGCUGUGACGGUAUCUUACCAGAAAGGGACGUCUAACUACGUGCCAGCAGCCACGGUAAUACGUAGGUCCCGAGCGUUGUCCGGAUUUAUUGGGCGUAAAGCGAGCGCAGGCGGUUAGAUAAGUCUGAAGUUAAAGGCUGUGGCUUAACCAUAGUACGCUUUGGAAACUGUUUAACUUGAGUGCAAGAGGGGAGAGUGGAAUUCCAUGUGUAGCGGUGAAAUGCGUAGAUAUAUGGAGGAACACCGGUGGCGAAAGCGGCUCUCUGGCUUGUAACUGACGCUGAGGCUCGAAAGCGUGGGGAGCAAACAGGAUUAGAUACCCUGGUAGUCCACGCCGUAAACGAUGAGUGCUAGGUGUUAGACCCUUUCCGGGGUUUAGUGCCGCAGCUAACGCAUUAAGCACUCCGCCUGGGGAGUACGACCGCAAGGUUGAAACUCAAAGGAAUUGACGGGGGCCCGCACAAGCGGUGGAGCAUGUGGUUU
rnacentral:rRNA from 1 species